AAAUUGGAAAAAAAGUACAGAUUAGUAAUAUAGUGAAAAAGAGAUUAAAAACCAGAAAAAGGAAAAACAAACUCGCUGAUGAAAACAGAUCUAAGUGAAUAUUCAGAAAUGUUUCAACAAAUUUCUCCUGGACUUGAUUUUAAAUUGAAUACAAUAUUUGUUAGAAUUAGAACUAUAUAUUUUCUGAAGAAUGAAAGUAUAAGUUUUUAAAUUUUAGUCAGUUGUUGUAUUAAUUUUAUAUAAAGAUUAUUGAGUUCUUAAACAUUUUCAUUUUCCAGAAAAGAUAAUUUCAUUAGAUACAUAAUUGAAUAAAAUACAUAUAUAUAAAUAUAUAUAUAUAAUAAAUGCAUAUAAAGUUUUAGUUGUACUACUGUAAAGAUAGUGCUUCAGAAUAUUCAUUUUUUUUUUUUUUAUGUUAAAUUUUAUUUAAAAAGAAAGGGAAUGCUUGAUACAUUUACCAACUUAUUGGAUAUUUUUGAUAUUCCACAUGUUCUAAUGUAUUAAAAUGUUUAUGUGAUGUUUUGUUUUGCAAAUAUUGCAUAUGGCAUACAACAACAGAUUGUAUCUUCUCGUGAAUAGAUUGGUACUUUUUACUCUUUUGAAAAGUCCAUGCUGUGUGCAAGAUAAUUUAUUGCAAUUAAAUAUAAAUGGCAGAUUCCACUACAUCAUAUUC